UGCCAGACUCCUACGGGAGGCAGCAGUGGGGAAUAUUGCACAAUGGGGGGAACCCUGAUGCAGCGACGCCGCGUGGGUGAGGGAGUACUUCGGUACGUAAAGCCCUAUCAGCAGGAAAGAAAAUGACGGUACCUGACUAAGAAGCCCCGGCUAACUACGUGCCAGCAGCCGCGGUAAUACGUAGGGGGCGAGCGUUAUCCGGAUUCACUGGGCGUAAAGGGAGCGCAGGCGGCACGGCAAGUCCGGUGUGAAAGCCCGGGGCCCAACCCCGGGACUGCACUGGAAACUGCCGGGCUGGAGUGUCGGAGGGGCAGGCGGAAUUCCUAGUGUAGCGGUGAAAUGCGUAGAUAUUAGGAGGAACACCAGUGGCGAAGGCGGCCUACUGGACGGUGACUGACGCUGAGGCUCGAAAGCGUGGGGAGCAAACAGGAUUAGAUACCCUAGUAC
rnacentral:rRNA from 1 species